rnacentral:misc_RNA from 1 species
GUGAAUCAUCGAAUUUUUGAACGCAAAUUGCACUCUCUUCUGAUAGUAUGCCUGUUUGAGUGCCAGCCUAAAAAAAAUCGUCAUCGUUGCUGUUUCGCGUUGGCGUUCGUCGGAAAUUGGGUUAUCUUAAAUCUUUGUUUUAAGCGACUUAAAUUUUUCUUUACGAUCCCAUUAACGGCUCCAAUAUGUAUUUCUUUACACGUUUAAGUUAUUGUUUCUAUUAGGCUUGGUCGUCAUAUCUUAUCAUGUCCAUAAUUUUUCGUUAACUGACCUCAGACA